rfam:Oryctolagus cuniculus chromosome X, whole genome shotgun sequence.
UGGCCCAUCGGGGCCCCGGAUACCUGCUCUGAUUUUU